CGUUGGUGGAUAAAACCAAGUUUUCACCCUUUCCGUUCCGUAUCCGCAUUUACAACUUCAAAUUGGACAUUGAAUCCUUCACUAUUAUGCAUCCUUGUGAUGGUGAUGGAAAUUAUGCGUGCGUUGGGUGUCCGCUGCACGUUGUUUUCAGCUAUUAUAAAAACAACGUGAUAAUUUCAAAAUCCAUCAGUCCACAAUUGCAUACCAACCAUUUCAUGCCUGACAUUCAAUCCGGGGAGUAAAAUCGGAACCAUAUUUCUAUUGUUAUAAAGGACUACACAAAUUUACUAGAUUCAAAUAAAAUGAAUACCUUGUCCAGCACCCUAUUUGUCGCGGCCUCAGUUGCCGUUUUGGUAAUCAGUUUUAGCUUGAGGUCAGAAUGUGGACUGUUGAGCAGACGCAUUGUUAGUGAAAAUUCGCCUGCAACCAAAGAAGAAGUUCGAGUUGGGGAUCAUUUUCCAGGAAGAGUGCGAGUGCGGGUGAAUCCACUGGAAUCUAUUUUGGCAAGGGCCCAAGACCUGAGUCCCGUCAAGAUUGAGAACGACAAGGGGAUGAUAAAAGUCCAGUUUCGGCGAGUCCUACCAAAAGUCAUGGGAUACAUGGGAGAAGCCGUACACAGGUUUCAGAAUAAUUUAUCUGAUCUGCUGUCCAAAACGGUCUACGGUUAAGUCUGUGUUAAAAACUUUAAGUUAUUGUUGUUUUUUUAAUACCAAAAAAUAAUGCGCUUUGAUACUCAAUAAACUCUCAUCUAGAAAUCAUA